GAUGUUAGGAUAUUUCCGUUCCACCUUAAAAGGGAGCAGGCUUUGUGAGUCAGAGUCUGCGUAUUUCCUGUUCACAGGAUGUUUAUAUUUUCUGUUGCUUUCGUUCUCUCUCUCUGUGUCGCAGACACUAAAGCAGGCAGUCAUGUUUUUCUGUGUUCUGAUCAACGCUGAAUAAACUUGUAAAUAAUGCUCUCCUGAGUGCAACUUUUGGCUGUGCAUUAUCUGCUGAUAGAGCGUGCAUGAGCUCUGGAAUGUGGCAAGAUAUUUUCUAGAAACUCAUGUCGCUGCGUGCCUACGGGAGGUCGAUGGAUCGUCCGGCAGACGGCUUGGGGGCCUUGAUGGACUUUAUCUCCCUGGCAGUAUCCCAACAACAGGUUUCGGGCCCAGAUUCACGGCACUUACAGGAGAGUAAGACUGCGACGGACUGCUGAAAGGUAUGUGGAGGAAAAGCGAAAGUAAGGCUUUUCUGUUUGCCGUGGCGAGAGCCUUUGAUGUCUGGCAGGACUAAUGGAUCUGGGAGCCGCACCAGAGCAUUCGUGAGUAAUGGGCUGCCAAGAUAAGGGAUCUUUGAAGUGAAUAAGACUCACGGCUCAAAUAAAAAGCUGGAAUGGAGUUUUUCCAAGCUUCUGAGGCUGCUGAGUGCCCAAAGUUAAAUCGGCACAACUAUCAGACCUGGGCAAAAUGGUGUGAGAGUUUGCUGCGUCAGUUUGGAGUGUGGCAUACUGUGUGUGAGGCCCCUCCAGUUCCUCUGACAGAUAGAUGGAAGGCCGAAAAUUCGAAGGCGAUAGACAUAAUAGUCUUGUCCGUCUCUCUGGAGGAAAUUAAAACGUUAGCUGGCAAUGUGACUGCAUGUAAGAUGUGGCAUGCUUUGAAGAUAGCCCAUUUGCCAGUCAUCCCAGCCCAGAGUUUGACUGCAUCGGAGGUCCUGGCUGUUUCCCAGAAUGCGAGUGAAUGCAGGGAUGCUGAGGGCACCGGUUGCAAGCUGCAGGGGGAGCUGACUGUCACGUCAUCCCAGGCAGCAUUCCAGCCUCCAGGGGGAGCCAAGGAGUCGGCAGCUGAAAACUCUGUUUCUCGUGAGAACCAAGGUCAUUGCCUUUGCAGAGGCCGGAAGGGCAAAGGUAAACAGAGGCAGACGCCUGCAGAUGGCCAGAAGCAGAGGGAGGGUGAAGAGCCCACGCCAGAGGAAAACAAGGUUUUGUUUGCUGGCACAGCUUCACCGAAGGCUAAAGGCAUGUCUGAUGGCCAGGAGCAGGGGGGCAAGCUGCAAAAGCCCACGCCAGUGGAAAACAAGGUUUUGUUUGCUGGCACAGCUUCACCAAAGGCUAAAGGCAAGUCUGAUGGCCAGGAGCAGGGGGGCAAGCUGCAAAAGCCCACGCCAGUGGAAAACAAGGCUGUGUUUGCUGGCACAGCCUCACCAAAGGCUAAAGGCAAGUCUGAUGGCCAGGAGCAGGGGGGCAAGCUGCAAAAGCCCACGCCGUCGGAAAACAAGGUUUUGCUUGCCAGAAAGGCUGCUCCAAAGGCCAAAGCCAGGUUUGUUGUUGAUUCAGGCUGUACCCGCCAUGUCUCAAAGGACCGCCACCUAUUUAUCUCCUUCAAACCUCAAGAAGGUGAGAUCCACCUGGCUGACGGAAAGACGUUGCGAAUCGCAGGAGAAGGGACUGUGAGACUGGCAAGUCUGCACACUUCCAUCAAAGAUGUACUGUAUGUUCCAGGUGCUGCAGACAAUUUGCUCAGUGUCCCACAGCUGACUGGGCGUGGUUUUGAGAUUUCCUUCAAGAGGAGCGUCUGUGUCAUCAGAAAAGGCAAAGAGGACAUUUUGCAUGCAAAGUUUAUGGAUGGAUUGUUCUGUAUAACUUAUGAUGACAAUGGUGCUGUUGUGUCUAAUGCUGAUUCUUGUUGUGUUGCACAAACUAACAAAGUUCUUCAUGCAGGAUGCAUUCACGAUGCACACAGAAGGUUUUGUCACCUCUCUUGGAAGGCACUGGCCAAGAUGCCAGAGAUGGUUGAAGGUUUGAACAUCAAACCCUGUAAGUUUCACAUGAAAUGUGUAUCUUGUGCAGAGAACAAGGUGAAGGUUGCUCCAAAAGGCAAGGAGUCUAGCAGGCAGGCUUCCAAACCCUACCAGCUAGUGCACGCAGACCUGGUUGGUCCACUUGUGCCCUCUUUGGGUGGAGCAAGGUACUUCAUGGUUCUAAUUGAUUCUUUUUCCAGGUACAUUCAUGUGUUUAUGCUCGAGCAGAAAUUGCAAGCGUUUCCUAAGUUCAAGGCAUUCUGUGCUUGGUUGGAGAAUGUUCAUGGUAAACGCAUUGGCUGUUUGUUUACUAAUCGAGAGGCUGAAUUCACUUCUCGGCAGUUUAAAGCUUUCCUGACUGAGAAGGGAAUCCAGCAUAGCCUCUCAAGUCCUGGAUCUCCAUGGGAGAUUUGUGAGUGAGCAAAUCAAACGUUGCUGCAAGGACUGAAAACAUUGUUGCAUGAUGCCAAUCUCCCUGAGAAGUUUUGGGGGGAGUCUUUGAACUCGUUUGUUUGUCAUCUCGCAGGUUGUCAUCACCUAUUGGUUGUACCCCCUAUGAGAAGAUGUUUGGUAAGAAACCCAACAUCAAGCACAUGAGAAUCUUUGGUUCUGACAUGUGGGUACACACCCCACAGAGCAACAAGCUUGGGAAGCGUGGGGCACAUGGUUUGUUCAUGGGGUACGAAAAAGGUGCAUACAGGGUAUGGAUGACUGACUCUAAGUCCAUUAAGUUCACAAAGAGUGUUGAGUACAAUCCAAAGUGGGGGGAAAAUGUGGGAAUUUUCCAGAGUUACCCAGAGGAGGAUGAAGGUGAUGUCAAAGAAGCAGCUAAAGCUGAGGAAGCUGCUGAGGAUGAUGAUGACGAUGAUGAUCAGAGUUCGGAUUCCAGCUCAGUGGGCGCUGCUGCUGAUGUCAGUGACAGUGAUGACACAGCAGACUACAAGAGCGCAAAGGCCUCAGUCAGACCAUCUGAUGCGUCUGACAAUGAACUGGAACAACCACUGUUCACCAUUGGUCACUUUUCUCCUAAGAAGGAGGAGAUGAGUCCAGAAGACUUGCGUCUAGUACGCAGAUCUGAAAGAGCCACAAAGGGCAGACCUCCAAAGAGAUUUGCUGAUGAGUUUGCUAAGACAGCAACUGCUGUUCUUAGUAGCUCAGAGAAGGUGUGGGAACCUUCAAGCUUCAAAGAGGUUCAGGAGUUAACCUCUAAAGAUGCUGAGCCUUGGCUUAAUGCCAUGAAGGCUGAAGUUGAUUCCUUGAAUAGGAACCAAACUUGGGAACUGGUACCGGUUGUCCCAGGAAUGAGACUGGUUGGCAGCAAAUGGGUCUUCAAGGCCAAGACAGACCAGAAUGGCAAGGUUGUCAGACACAAAGCCAGAUUGGUUGCCAGAGGUUUUUCACAGGUAUCAGGACAGGAUUACCACGAGACCUACUCACCCACCGUCAAAUAUGAGAGCAUUCGGCUGAUGCUCAAGAUCGCUGCGGAGGAGAAACUGCAUGUUUUCCAUCAUGACAUUAAUACAGCUUUUUUGUACGGGAUUCUGGGGGAGGAGCUGUUUAUGCUUCCACCUGACGGGAUGCAGAUACAGAAGGGAAUGGUCUGUAAACUGCGGAAAUCCUUAUAUGGUCUCAAGCAGAGUGCUAGGUGUUGGAACACGAAACUCACUGAGACGUUGCUUUCUCUAGGUUUUCACCAGGGCAAAGCUGAUCCGUGUGUGUUUGUCAAGGAGGAGGGGCAAAACAAACUGUAUUGUUUAUGUUUUGUUGAUGAUCUUCUGAUGUUUUGGAAGAAUCAGGCUUUCUACCAAAGCACCCUAGCUCAGCUGAAGGAGCACUUUGACAUGAAGGAUCUUGGUGAGGUAUCCAACUAUCUUUCUCUGCAGGUGGAGAGGGACCAAGCAGGUAGUUUUCUGGUACACCAAACACAGAAAAUUGCUAAUGUAUUAACCAGGUUGAAUUUGGUUGAUGCAAACCCAGCAGACACACCGAUGGUGACAGGUUACCAGGUAGACAGUACUGCUGAAGCGUUUUCUGACAUUACGCUGUACAGAUGCAUUCUAGGCAAGUUGAAUUUCAUUGCUAGAUGUUCAAGACCUGACAUAGCUGUAAGCUGUAACCUGCUUAGCAGACAUGCUAACAAUCCUACUGUUCAGGAUUGGAAAGCUCUGAAGCGCAUAGCCCGCUAUUUGAAAGGGACUUUGCACUACAGGCUGAGGUUCACCAGUCAGAAGACUGGAGGUCUUGAAAUCUUUGCAGAUGCAAGUUUUGGAAGUGAUACCACGGAUGGUACAAGCACUUCUGGAGUAUGCUACAUGUACAACCACUGCCUGUUUGACUGGUUGUGCAAAAAGCAGAUGACAGUGAGCCUAAGUUCCUGUGAAGCAGAACUCAAUGCUCUGUCAUUUUCACUCAUGGAUUGUGAAUGGUUGAUGCAACUGUUUAAGGACAUCAGAGUUUCUGUGAAAUGUCCUGUACAAGUGUAUCAAGACAAUAGAUCGUGUUUGGCUUUGCUGAACUCGGAGAGUUGCAAGCAAAGGACCAAGUACUUGCAGAUUAAGCUACAUCGUGCAAGAGAGUGUAUUGAGAAACGACUCAUUCAGGUGUCCUACAUGCCAGGAAAUGAAAUUCCUGCUGAUCUGUUGUCUAAGGUUGUUAACAGAGAACAACUUAAGGUUUACGUACAAAGGUUGCAAUUGGGUUGAACCACAGGUACUACAGGUUACACGGAAAGGGGGAGGAUGUUAGGAUAUUUCCGUUCCACCUUAAAAGGGAGCAGGCUUUGUGAGUCAGAGUCUGCGUAUUUCCUGUUCACAGGAUGUUUAUGUUUUCUGUUGCUUUCGUUCUCUCUCUCUGUGUCGCAGACACUAAAGCAGGCAGUCAUGUUUUUCUGUGUUCUGAUCAACGCUGAAUAAACUUGUAAAUAAUGCUCUCCUGAGUGCAACUUUUGGCUGUGCAUUAUCUGCUGAUAGAGCGUGCAUGAGCUCUGGAAUGUGGCAAGAUAUUUUCUAGAAACUCAUGUCGCUGCGUGCCUACGGGAGGUCGAUGGAUCGUCCGGCAGACGGCUUGGGGGCCUUGAUGGACUUUAUCUCCCUGGCAGUAUCCCAACA